rnacentral:tRNA from 1 species
AAGAGAGUAUUCCGGUUCAAGUAUCCACAACCUAUCGGUUGUUCAAUAAGCAGGGCCAGGAGCCAGGCACCAGAGGCAAGAGUAAUUCUUUUCGCACUUGGUUCAUGGACUCUGGAUUCAGGGUCUGUAGCUCAGUUGGUUAGAGCACACGCUUGAUAAGCGUGGGGUCGGUGGUUCAAAUCCACCCAGACCCACCAACCAAGGGGGUGUAGCUCAGCUGGGAGAGCACCUGCUUUGCAAGCAGGGGGUCAUCGGUUCGAUCCCGUUCACCUCCACCAAUUCUGGAUCAGAUAAUUAGAGAAUAGAAGUAAGCUUGGUGUUUACUUCUGGUUUUUAACCAGCGGCUGUAUUUCAGGGGUGGUGGCAUAAGAAGCAUUGGGUCAGCUUUACUAACACCUGAUUCUUGUUCCACAGUUUCUGAUGCUCUUUAACAAUUUGGAAGAAGUAAAGUAUUUCGUGCCUGUGGAAGCGUGCAACUUGCAUGAUUGGGUUGCGUGUAACCGCGAGUGCGGAAUAAUGGGUUAGAUUGUAUCAACACAUUGCAUUUUUAGUCGGAUGCAAUGUGAGCAAACGCCUGUAGCCGAAUGGUUUUGAAUGUCGGAUCGGUUUAGGGAUCAAGGUUUCUUUGAUCUCCAGCUCCGAUUUGACUAAUAAAGCCCUUAAGGUUAUAG